CCUACGGGAGGCAGCAGUGAGGAAUAUUGGUCAAUGGACGAGAGUCUGAACCAGCCAAGUAGCGUGAAGGAUGACUGCCCUAUGGGUUGUAAACUUCUUUUAUAUGGGAAUAAACUGUUCCACGUGUGGGAUUUUGUAUGUACCAUAUGAAUAAGGAUCGGCUAACUCCGUGCCAGCAGCCGCGGUAAUACGGAGGAUCCGAGCGUUAUCCGGAUUUAUUGGGUUUAACGGGAGCUUAGGUGGAUUGUUAAGUCAGUUGUGAAAGUUUGCGGCUCAACCGUAAAAUUGCAGUUGAAACUGGCAGUCUUGAGUACAGUAGAGGUGGGCGGAAUUCGUGGUGUAGCGGUGAAAUGCUUAGAUAUCACGAAGAACUCCGAUUGCGAAGGCAGUUCACUGGACUGCAACUGACACUGAGGCUCGAAAGUGUGGGUAUCAAACAGGAUUAGAUACCCGUGUAGUC
rnacentral:rRNA from 1 species